CUUGCUAUAGAAUGUGUGUGAGAACGCAUGUAUCUAUACAAAUACAAGCUCUCUUCCUCUUGUUUUCUUGAUUGUGGAGACACUUAAACUGUGGUUAUAGUGAAUAUUGCUUUAAUAUAUAGUGUACUCUAUCACCAGGAGAAGAAUGAUGGAGACUUAAGAGCAAAGACACGUGGAACAAUUACAUCAUAUCUUGUUUUCGGCACAAUUGAGGAAAACCCCAACACCAUCGUGCUAGACAUGCGCAUGCACUACCAUGUGAGUGGCUGCAAUCUCGCGAAGUAGCAACGCCACCCAUGAGAAUUGGCAACAUUGCCCACAUGCAGAGGCAAUGUCACUAGCAUGCAGCAUCAUUGCUCGUGCACAGUCGCAUGAGACAGCUGAUUGCGAACAAUUGCGUGACUGCCAGGCCAUGCAUAGCUACGCUUAAGGGUACACCCUUCUACUGUGGCGCAAGAAGCAGUGGCAGGUCUUGAGGCUUUCAAAGCAUACCAAAAUUCUUUGCCAUCUAUGGAAGAAGACGAGAGGCAGGUGGUUUCUCCAAGAGGUUGGCAGCCUCCUCGAUCUCCCAGGUACUAUAAAAAUAAAUUGGGACGCUUCUCUAAAUAAAUCUUUGGGUUGCAUUGGCAUUGGUAUAGUGGCUCGGGACAGUGCAGGAAAUAUGAUGGGGCCUGGGGGCUAAAUGUUCUUACAAGCUGCAACUUCUAGAACCGGAUGUACGUAGCUGAGAUUUUAGCAGCUCUGGAAGCAGUUGUUUUCUGUAAAGAGGUUGGCUUCCUAGAUGUAAUUUUGGAAGGGGAUGCGUUGAAGAUUCUUAAGGAGAUUAACUCAGAUCCACCUUUCCUAUCCCGCACCGGGCAUUUUGUAGAGGCUAAAUUUUAAGAAAAUUUAUAUGGGAAAAGGAGAAGGGGAA